rfam:Triticum aestivum genome assembly, contig: Triticum_aestivum_CS42_TGACv1_scaffold_093537_2AL
UGAGUAUUCUUUUCGUCCAGAAAUAUUUAUCAAAGAAAUGAAUGUAUCUAGACGUAUUUUAGUUUUAGAUACAUCCACUUUUAUCCAUUUCAGUGACAAGUAAUUUUGAAUGGAGGGAGUAGUUG